rnacentral:rRNA from 1 species
GAUUAUAUAACCCGGGUAGUCCCAGCUGUAAACUAUGCAAACUCAUUGAUGCAUUGGCUUGUGGCCAAUGCAGUGCUGCAGGGAAGCCGUUAAGUUUGCCGCCUGGGAAGUACGUACGCAAGUAUGAAACUUAAAGGAAUUGGCGGGGGAGCACCACAAGGGGUGAAGCCUGCGGUUCAAUUGGAGUCAACGCC